ACGGAAGGCAGCAGUGGGGAAUUUUUCACAAUGGGGGAAACCCUGAUGGAGCAAUCCUGCGUGGAUGAUGAAGGCCCUUUGGGUCGUAAAAUCCUUUUAUAAAGGACGAAAGCAGUAACUAGGAAAUGAGUUAUUGUUGACUGUACUUUUUGAAUAAGUAACGGCUAACUAUGUGCCAGCAGCCGCGGUAAUACAUAGGUUACAAGCGUUAUCCGGAUUUACUGGGCGUAAAGCGAGCGCAGAUGGACUUACAAGUCUGGUGUUAAAGACUUAGGCUUAACCUAAACACGCAUUGGAAACUGUAAGUCUAGAGUUUGAUAGGAAGUUUUAGAACUCCAUGUGGAGCGGUGGAAUGCGCAGAUAUAUGGAAGAAUACCGGUGGUGAAAACGAAAACUUAGGUCACAACUGACAUUUAGGCUCGAAAGUGUGGGGAGCAAAUAGGAUUAGAUACCCUGGUA
rnacentral:rRNA from 1 species